AGAUACCAGGGUCACAAGGUCUGACACCACGUGUACUCGCACACUAGUGGUAAAAUGACCUUGUGACCCGCCCCAAUAUGAGCAUAAAAGCGGGGCGUAAGCACUACGAUAUGCGAAUGUUGGGUAGGAUUGUGGGAGCACAUAGUGCGUAACAAUCCGUAGGUAUCA
rfam:Ruminococcus lactaris ATCC 29176 R_lactaris-2.0.1_Cont13.1, whole genome shotgun sequence.